rnacentral:tRNA from 1 species
UGGCUCAGUGAUAGAGCGCUUGCCUAGCAUGCAUGAGUUCUUGAGUUCAAUCCUCAG